rnacentral:rRNA from 1 species
AGUGAACGCUGGCGGCAGGCCUAACACAUGCAAGUCGAACGGCAGCACAAGAGAGCUUGCUCUCUGGGUGGCGAGUGGCGGACGGGUGAGGCAUGCAUCGGAAUCUGCCCAUUUGUGGGGGAUAACCUCGGGAAACCGGGACUAAUACCGCAUACGACCUACGGGUGAAAGCAGGGGAUCUUCGGACCUUGCGCAGAUGGAUGAGCCGAUGCCGGAUUAGCUAGUUGGAGGGGUAAAGGCCCACCAAGGCGACGAUCCGUAGCGGGUCUGAGAGGAUGAUGAGCCACACUGGGACUGAGACACGGCCCAGACCCCUAGGGGAGGCAGCGGUGGGGAAUAUUGGACAAUGGGCGCAAGCCUGAUCCAGCCAUGCCGCGUGUGUGAAGAAGGCCUUCGGGUUGUAAAGCACUUUUGUUGGGAAAGAAAAGCAGCCGGUUAAUACCCGGUUGUCAUGACGGUACCCAAAGAAUAAGCACCGGCUAACUUCGU